CUAGUAACUGCGAGUGAAGCGGGAAAAGCUCAAAUUUGAAAUCUGGCAGUCCCUUUUUUCUUCCUUGGCUGUCCGAGUUGUAAUCUAGAGAAGUGCUUACCUGCGCUGGACCAUGUAUAAGUCUCCUGGAAUGGAGCGUCACAGAGGGUGAGAAUCCCGUCUUUGACAUGGACCGCCAGCGUGUUGUGGUGUGCUCUCAAAGAGUCGAGUUGUUUGGGAAUGCAGCUCUAAAUGGGUGGUAAACUCCAUCUAAAGCUAAAUAUUGGCGAGAGACCGAUAGCGAACAAGUACCGUGAGGGAAAGAUGAAAAGGACUUUGGAAAGAGAGUUAAACAGUAUGUGAAAUUGUUGAAAGGGAAACGCUUGAAGUCAGUUAUGUCGGCUAGGGAUCAGCCUAGUCUUUUGGCUGGGUGAAUUUCCUUGUCUGACAGGCCAACAUCAGUUUUGACUGCCAGAAAAGAGCAAAGGGAAUGUGGCACCUUUGGGUGUGUUAUAGCCUUUUGUCAUAUGUGGCAGUUGGGACUGAGGGAUGCAGCGCGCCGUUUUUGGCUGGGUUUCGACCACAUUUGCGCUUAGGAUGUUGGCUUUUCGACGGCUUUAAUCGACCCGUCUUGAAACACGGACCAAGGAGUCUAACAUGCCUGUGAGUGUUUGGGUGGUUAAAACCCUUGCGCACAAUGAAAGUGAAAGUUGAGAUCCCUGUCGCAGGGAGCAUCGACGCCCGGACCUGAGCUUUUAGCGAUGGACCUGCGGUAGAGCAUGCAUGUUGGGACCCGAAAGAUGGUGAACUAUGCCUGAAUAGGGCGAAGCCAGAGGAAACUCUGGUGGAGGCUCGUAGCGAUUCUGACGUGCAAAUCGAUCGUCGAAUUUGGGUAUAGGG
rnacentral:rRNA from 1 species